rfam:Ovis aries breed Texel chromosome 5, whole genome shotgun sequence.
UGCCUGGUGGUUCAGCCAUUAGGACUCAGCAGUUUUACUGCUGUGGCCCGGGUUCAAUCCCUGGUCAGAGAA